rnacentral:rRNA from 1 species
AUUGAACGCUGGCGGCAGGCCUAACACAUGCAAGUCGAACGAGUGGCGGAAGGGUGAGUAAGGUCUGGGCAACUGCCUGGGGGAGGGGGAUAACUACUGGAAACGGUAGCUAAUACCGCCUUGCAGCGGAUGUGCCCAGAUGGGAUUAGCUAGUAGGUGGGGUAAAGCCUCACCUAGGCGAAGAUCCCUAGCUGGUCUGAGAGGAUGACCAGCCACACUGGAACUGAGACACGGUCCAGACUCCUACGGGAGGCAGCAGUGGGGAAUUUUGCACAAUGGGGGCAAGCCUGAUGCAGCCAUGCCGCGUGUAUGAAGAAGGCCUUCGGGUUGUAAAGUACUUUCAGCGGGGAGGCGUUACCCGCAGAAGAAGCACCGGCUAACUCCGUGCCAGCCGCCGCGGUAAUUC